GGGGGGGGGGGGGGGGGGGGGGGGGGGGGGGGGGGGGGGGGGGGGGCUCAGGGAAUGAGAACGGGGACUGGAGCUGUGUUCCUGACAGGACCUGUUACAAAACCCCAUUUCCAGAGGUGCCAGAGCCUCUGGAUCUGCUCAGGGAUGAAGAACUGGACCAGAACCUGCUGUCCUGACAGGAUCUGGAAUAAAAUCCCCUUUCCAGCAGUGCCAAAGCCCCUGGAACUGCUCGGGAAUGAGGAACAGACAAAAUCCCAUUUCCAGAGGUGCCAGAGCCUCUGGAUCUGCUCAGGGAUGAAGAACUGGACCAGAACUUGCUGCCCUGACAGAAUCUGGAAUAAAACCCCCUUUCCAGAGGUGCUGUAGCCUUAGGAUCUGCUCAGGAAUGGGAACAGGGACUGGUCCUUCUUUCUUAACAGAUUCUGGGACAAAAUCCCCAUUCCAGCAGCACCAGCAGCCUCUGGAUCUGGUCUGGGAAUAAGAACAGGGACGGGAGCUGUGUUCCUGACAGGAUCUGUUACAAAACCCCAUUUCCAGAGGUACCUUGGGAUGUGCUUGGGAGUGGGAAUGGAGAAAAUCCCCAUUGCGACGGUGCCAGGAGCCUCUGGAUCUUCUCAGGGAACAAGAACGGGAACAGGAGCUGCUGUCCUGACAGAAUCUGGAAUAAAACCCCAUUUCCAGAGGUGCCAGAGCCUCUGGAUCUGCUUGGGAAUGAGGAACAGACAGAAUCCCCUUUCCAUUAGUGCCAGGAACUCCUGGAUCUGCUCAGGAAUGAGGAACAGACAGAAUCCCAUUUCCUGCGGUGCCAAAGCCCCUGGAACUGCUCAGGGAAUGAGAACGGGGACUGGAGCUGUGUUCCUGACAGGAGGGGGGGGGGGGGGGGGGGGGGGGG
rnacentral:lncRNA from 12 species